rnacentral:tRNA from 1 species
AGGAUAAUAGUUAAAUAUAACAUUUGAAUUGCAAUCAAAAAGUAUUGGUCACAAUUUAUCUUA